rnacentral:rRNA from 1 species
UACGUAGGGUGCAGGCGUUAAUCGGAAUUACUGGGCGUAAAGCGUGCGCAGGCGGUUAUGUAAGACAGGUGUGAAAUCCCCGGGCUCAACCUGGGAACUGCAUUUGUGACUGCAAGGCUAGAGUACGGUAGAGGGGGAUGGAAUUCCGCGUGUAGCAGUGAAAUGCGUAGAUAUGCGGAGGAACACCGAUGGCGAAGGCAAUCCCCUGGACCUGUACUGACGCUCAUGCACGAAAGCGUGGGGAGCAAACAGG